UAGAUUCGAAAAGUUGGAAUAACCGUCAUUUUAGAUGUUCGUUAAACGGAUUUUGUCACCUGGGGAGUUGUAGAGCAAAGCACCUGAGCACCCAGGGUGAGGGACACACAGUAUUAUGAGUUCCUACGCCAGAACUCGACGGAACUCAGAUCUGGCACCUCUCAGGUGGGUGCCAUUGCCAUUAUAAGAGAACGAGGGAGAAGUUCAUGGCUUGCUCUCAGCCAGGUCUCAGUGAAAAAUACCCAGCCAGUAUGGGCACCAGCCAUAUGUAGAUCCCAUAGGCCCACUCUUCUCUUUCCAUGAUACAGGCUAAUCCUGCUUGGACCAGUUGGUUUAUACACGUGAAAAGAGGAACCUUCAAUUUGACCAAUCCACAUUGCAUUUACGGGAGCAAGAAACUGGACAAAGUGGAAGCAGCUUGCGAUAAACGGUAGCGAAUGAAGUGGAUUUCCAUUGGCUUUAAUACGGAAGCCAGGAGCGUCGUGUGCUGAUCUAUGACGUGCCCGUGAGUGACUGGAGCCACGGCUUUCAGAAGCGUAUGGGGAAGCCCAGGUUGCGGUGGGAGGACAGAGCACCUGUUUCCAGCAAGUCUACCAGGACUGUCUCAUUUCUGACCAUAUGAAAAUCCAUGGGUUUAUACGCAGUGAUCAUGUCACUUCUUUAGGGCAAUCAAAGCAGGCAAGUCGAACCACACAUCCUGUUCAGAAACUGAUAGCAAGGCAUAGCAAGAAAUGUAGAGACAGACUUCUAACCUAGACACUUUUAAACUAUCUUUCCCUUUCCUUAAGAGGCUGCACCCUUGAUAUUAGUCUCAGGAAUCAGUACUCCAAAUUAGUGAUCAUCUGUGUUUUCAAUAGUAAAGGACUCAGGAAAAAACUAUUAAAGGAAGUUCAGUUUGGAUCUAUGUAACUCUCAAUGAUAGGUAAAUGCACAUGAUUUGGGGCAGAAUUUGGACCACCCAAGGAAAGCAUGUUAAUUUUGCAUUUUGAAGUCAAGCAUUUUGAAGUAGUAUGCAGGAUGAUGACAGCACAACCACCUCCUUCAGCCAUUUUAAAAUAAGCUACUCAUAUAGUACUGACAGCAACCUGCGCCCCUAAACAUCGGCUCCUAGAGACUGGGGCAUCCUCUAGAACAGACUAGCAUGUGGUGUGGAAGGCCGCAGCAAGAAGGGCAGAUUUCCAAAGACCAGGGCUCCCAGGAUGAGAACAAAAGAGUCAUCCACUUCUACAUUGCCACCUUGGAUUCCACAUCAUAUACCCAACACAGAGGCUACUUGUGGACCUAUCUUUGAGAAGAAGGGGCUUCAUGUCAAUGUGGGACUGAAUGGAUUCCUGUGGCACCUCACAGGCCAAAGGCCAUAGAGUGAAGUCCCCCAGUGCUGCUUUUUCUGCUCAUCCCUUUGGAAAGGACUGGCACUACCAUAGCACUGCAUCCUCGGGUCUCACUCUGGCCAGAUGAUCUGAGAAGGAAACUAUGGUUGAUGAGGACGAUGACUGCCAAGAGGUCCAGGAGGACCAGUAGAGUUACAUUUCCCCUUUGGCAGAAGUGUAAACAAGGUUGGAAAGGAUCCAAAUAUCCAUGUUUCAGGUUCUGAACAGUAAACUACUCCAUGGGUUGUUGAGAAAGCAACUCGGCUCACCCCUGCUUUAUCCAAGGAAAGGUUUCUUGUCUUGGGAGACUGGGGAGCAGUAAUGGCCAAACCAAGCCUUACCAAGUGUUCCAAUUGGAAAACCAUUGGGAUUCCUGAUUCAUCGACUGGGCCAAUCCCGGCAUAAUGUGGUGCUUUAAUGACUGUGACUUUCUUCUCUUCUUCCGAAGUUCUGCAGAUUGGUAUUGUGCUGGUGGUACUGCUGCCGCCAACAGAAUGAGCAUGCUGAGAACCAGGCUUGAAUUGAGUGAGACUGGUGGGGAAUAUCCUGAAGGGGAAAAAGGCCUUUGAAAGUGGCUCAUGGGACUGGUUGCUGAACUAGAGUUCCCAUUCACU